CUACGGGUUGCUCCAGUAGGGAAUCUUAGACAAUGGGGGAAACCCUGAUCUAGCCAUGCCGCGUGAGUGAUGAAGGCCUUAGGGUUGUAAAGCUCUUUCGCUGGGGAAGAUAAUGACGGUACCCAGUAAAGAAACCCCGGCUAACUCCGUGCCAGCGAGCCGCGGUAAUACGGAGGGGGUUAGCGUUGUUCGGAAUUACUGGGCGUAAAGCGCGCGUAGGCGGGCUAUUAAGUCAGGGGUGAAAUCCCGGGGCUCAACCCCGGAACUGCCUUUGAUACUGGUAGUCUUGAGUUCGAGAGAGGUGAGUGGAAUUCCGAGUGUAGAGGUGAAAUUCGUAGAUAUUCGGAGGAACAUCAGUGGCGAAGGCGACUCACUGGCUCGAUACUGACGCUGAGGUGCGAAAGUGUGGGGAGCAAACAGGAUUAGAUACCCCUGUAGUC
rnacentral:rRNA from 1 species